rnacentral:rRNA from 1 species
ACUCAAAGGAAUUGACGGGGGCCCGCACAAGCGGCGGAGCAUGUUGCUUAAUUCGAUGCGACGCGAAGAACCUUACCUGGGUUGAACUACGCAGGAAAAGCCGCAGAGAUGCGGUGUCCGUAAGGGCCUGCGAUAGGUGGUGCAUGGCUGUCGUCAGCUCGUGUCGUGAGAUGUUGGGUUAAGUCCCGCAACGAGCGCAACCCUUGUCCUAUGUUGCCAGCGGAUUAUGCCGGGGACUCGUAGGAGACUGCCGGGGUCAACUCGGAGGAAGGUGGGGAUGACGUCAAGUCAUCAUGCCCCUUACGUCCAGGGCUGCAAACAUGCUACAAUGGCCGGUACAACGGGCUGCUAGACCGCGAGGUUGAGCGAAUCCCUAAAAGCCGGUCUCAGUUCGGAUCGUAGUCUGCAACUCGACUGCGUGAAGUUGGAGUCGCUAGUAAUCCCGGAUCAGCAACGCCGGGGUGAAUACGUUCCCGGGCCUUGUACACACCGCCCGU